rnacentral:rRNA from 1 species
GGCUCAGGAUGAACGCUAGCGAUAGGCCUAACACAUGCAAGUCGAGGGGCAGCAUAGAGUAGCAAUACUUGAUGGCGACCGGCGCACGGGUGAGUAACACGUAUGCAACCUACCUACAUCAGGGGAAUAACCCGGAGAAAUUCGGACUAAUACCGCAUAAUACAGGGAUGCCGCAUGGUAAUAUUUGUUAAAGAUUUAUCGGAUGUAGAUGGGCAUGCGUUCCAUUAGCUAGUUGGUAAGGUAACGGCUUACCAAGGCAACGAUGGAUAGGGGAACUGAGAGGUUUGUCCCCCACACUGGAACUGAGACACGGACCAGACUCCUACGGGAGGCAGCAGUGAGGAAUAUUGGUCAAUGGACGAGAGUCUGAACCAGCCAAAUCGCGUGAAGGAAAGACUGCCCUACGGGUUGUAAACUUCUUUUGUACAGGAAUAAAAGACAUUACGUGUAGUGUAUUGCAUGUACUGUACGAAUAAGCAUCGGCUAACUCCGUGCCAGCAGCCGC